GAUGAACGCUAGCUACAGGCUUAACACAUGCAAGUCGAGGGGAAACGGCAUUAAGUGCUUGCACUUUUUGGACGUCGACCGGCGCACGGGUGAGUAACGCGUAUCCAACCUUCCCAUGACUAAGGGAUAACCUGCCGAAAGGCAGACUAAUACCUUAUGGUCUUCACUGACGGCAUCAGAUGUGAAGUAAAGAUUUAUCGGUUAUGGAUGGGGAUGCGUCUGAUUAGCUUGUUGGCGGGGUAACGGCCCAUCAAGGCAACGAUCAGUAGGGGUUCUGAGAGGAAGGUCCCCCACAUUGGAACUGAGACACGGUCCAAACUCCUACGGGAGGCAGCAGUGAGGAAUAUUGGUCAAUGGGCGAGAGCCUGAACCAGCCAAGUAGCGUGCAGGAUGACGGCCCUAUGGGUUGUAAACUGCUUUUGUAUGGGGAUAAAGUCAAUCACGUGUGAUUGUUUGCAGGUACCAGACGAAUAAGGACCGGCUAAUUCCGUG
rnacentral:rRNA from 1 species